rnacentral:miRNA from 1 species
CAGGGCCCUGGCUUUAGCAGA